rnacentral:lncRNA from 1 species
GUUCACAAUUGAAUUACAUCAGGAAGAAAAGGUUAUCUAGGAAAUAUAACUUGUUUGUUUAUUGUGAUCAGUCAAUAUCAUUUCACAUUAUUUCAGGUUAUUUUUGCUGUUGGAGAAAAGGGAAUGCUGUAUGCGUGGGACAUUCACAUCGAAACAAUAUUUGCCAACAUAAAUUUAGUAUGCUUAAUUGACAUAUGAAAUGCUAUUUUUAAAUUAUACAAUCUAAGUGAUGUUUAAUCAUAAAACCCUAAACACUGAAUCAGAAACGCUUACCUUUUGCUUCUCUUUUUCUCUUCUGAAAACAAUCCCAGAGUCUCUGCCCUCUCUCCUUGCUCAAGUUGACUCCAAAAACGUCCCAAUGCUUUUUUUUUUCAAUUUCUCUCUAACCGUUUUCUUGCCACUGUUUUGUCUCUCUGCACACAUGCAUACACGCCUCUCCUUCCCGCGCCCUAGUCACCCUCUUUCUUUUCACGUUUUUUCUCUUUCUUUUCACGUUUUUUCUCUUUUUUCUUUAUUUUGUUAUUUUUUUUAAUUAGUUGUACUAAUAAAGUUUUAAUG